rnacentral:rRNA from 1 species
AAACUUUACAAUGCCGGCAACGGCGAUAAGGGGACCUCGAGUGCCAGGAUACAAUCCUGGCUGUCGUAAUGCCUAAAAAGCAUUAUAUAGCAAGGGCCGGGCAAGACCGGUGCCAGCCGCCGCGGUAACACCGGCGGCUCGAGUGGUAACCGCUAUUAUUGGGUCUAAAGGGUCUGUAGCCGGCCUGGUAAGUCUUUUGGGAAAUCCGGCAGCUCAACUGUCGGGCUAUCAGAGGAUACUGCUAGGCUCGAGACCGGGAGAGGUGAGAGGUACUUCAUGGGUAGGGGUGAAAUCUUGUAAUCCUUGAAGGACCACCAGUGGCGAAGGCGUCUCACCAGAACGGAUCUGACGGCAAGGGACGAAAGCUAGGGGCACGAACCGGA